UUUUUCGACACAGUUGGGACGAAAGCCAGGGUCUCGAACCGGAUUAGAUACCCGGGUAGUCCUGGCCGUAAACAAUGUCUGUUAGGUGUGGCUCCCACUACGAGUGGGUGCUGUGCCGUAGGGAAGCCGCUAAACAGACCGCCUGGGAAGUACGUCCGCAAGGAUGAAACUUAAAGGAAUUGGCGGGGGAGCACUACAACCGGAGGAGCCUGCGGUUUAAUUGGACUCAACGCCGGACAUCUCACCAGCAUCGACUGUAAUAAUGACGAUCAGGUUGAUGACCUUAUCCGAGUUUCAGAGAGGAGGUGCAUGGCCGCCGUCAGCUCGUACCGUGAGGCGUCCUGUUAAGUCAGGCAACGAGCGAGACCCGCAUCCUUACUUGCCAGCAGCACUGCGAAGUGGCUGGGGACAGUAGGGAGACCGCCGUGGCCAACACGGAGGAAGGAACGGGCAACGGUAGGUCAGUAUGCCCCGAAUGUGCUGGGCAACACGCGGGCUACAAUGGUCGAGACAAAGGGUUCCAACUCCGAAAGGAGACGGUAAUCUCAGAAACUCGAUCGUAGUUCGGAUUGUGGGCUGCAACUCGCCCACAUGAAGCUGGAUUCGGUAGUAAUCGCGUGUCAUAAGCGCGCGGUGAAUACGUCCCUGCUCCUUGCACACACCGCCCGUCAAAGCACCCGAGUGAGGUCCGGAUGAGGCUCGUUACACGAGUCGAAUCUGGGCUUCGCAAGGGGGCUAAGUCGUAACAAGAGCAGGUAUUCUGGUUGAUCCUGCCGGAGGCCAUUGCUAUUGGGAUUCGAUUUAGCCAUGCUAGUCGCACGAGUUCAGACUCGUGGCGAAUAGCUCAGUAACACGUGGCCAAACUACCCUUCGGAGCACGAUACCCUCGGGAAACUGAGGCUAAUAGUGCAUACCACAUCACAGCUGGAAUGAGUGAUGUGCCAAACGCUCCGGCGCCGAAGGAUGUGGCUGCGGCCGAUUAGGUAGACGGUGGGGUAACGGCCCACCGUGCCAAUAAUCGGUACGGGUCAUGAGAGUGAGAACCCGGAGACGGAAUCUGAGACAAGAUUCCGGGCCCUACGGGGCGCAGCAGGCGCGAAACCUUUACACUGCACGCCAGUGCGAUAAGGGAAUCCCAAGUGCGCAGGCAUAGAGCCUGCGCUUUUGUACACCGUAGGGAGGUGUACGAAUAAGGGCUGGGCAAGACCGGUGCCAGCCGCCGCGGUAAUACCGGCAGCCCGAGUGAUGGCCGAUCUUAUUGGGCCUAAAGCGUCCGUAGCUGGCCGCGCAAGUCUAUCGGAAAAUCCACCCGCUCAACGGGUGGGCGUCCGGUAGAAACUGCGUGGCUUGGGACCGGAAGGCGCGACGGGUACGUCCGGGGUAGGAGUGAAAUCCCGUAAUCCUGGACGGACCGCCGAUGGCGAAAGCACGUCGCGAGGACGGACCGACAGGAGACGAGCUGAC
rnacentral:rRNA from 1 species